rnacentral:misc_RNA from 1 species
UAUUCGGAAUGCGUAAGACUUGGCCGACAUAAAUCCGGUCGGGAUGGUCGAGCUUGUCGCGAUUGGCUUCAAAUAUGAACCGCCAGAAUUUCCCCGCGCCGUACUUGUCCUUAGCGAUGUCGCUCAGAGUGUCCCCCGUCCGCACGUCAUGGAGCGAAAAGUCGCCUUCCUUAAGCUCCGGUGCCAGCAGUCCAACAUCCGCUUCCGCCAGACCGUCGAGCGCGCUUGCGACCCGCUUGAGCGUCGUCGGACGAUAAGCCACCUUGUCCCUGAGAUUUUCCGGCUU